rnacentral:rRNA from 1 species
CCACGGGACACGUGAAACCCUGUGGGAAGCAGGAGGGACCACCCUCCAAGGCUAAAUACUACCUAGUGACCGAUAGCGUAUAGUACCGUGAGGGAAAGGUGAAAAGAACCCCGGGAGGGGAGUGAAAUAGAACCUGAAACCCUGCACUUACAAGCUGUGGAAGCACAUUUCUUGUGUGACCGCGUACUUUUUGUAGAACGGGCCAACGAGUUACGUUAAGUAGCAAGGUUAAGCACUUAAGGUGCGGAGCCGUAGCGAAAGCGAGUUUUAACUGAGCGUUCAGUUACUUGACGUAGACCCGAAACCGGGCGACCUACCCAUGAGCAGGAUGAAGCGAAAGUAAAAUUUCGUGGAGGUCCGAACCCACGAGCGUUGAAAAGCUCGGGGAUGACUUGUGGGUAGCGGUGAAAUUCCAAUCGAGCCCGGAGAUAGCUGGUUCUCCCCGAAAUAGCUUUAGGGCUAGCCUCAAGGUGAGAGAUACGGAGGUAGAGCACUGAAUGUCCUAGGGGGUAUUGCACCUACCGAAGACUAUCAAACUCCGAAUGCCGUCAUCUUAUACUUGGGAGUCAGACUGUGGGUGAUAAGAUUCAUAGUCGAAAGGGCAACAGCCCAGAUCGUCAGCUAAGGUCCCUAAAUGUAAGUUAAGUGGUAAAGGAUGUGGGAUUGCACAGACAACCAGGAUGUUGGCUUAGAAGCAGCCACUCAUUCAAAGAGUGCGUAAUAGCUCACUGGUCGAGUGAUCCUGCGCCGAAGAUUUCCGGGGCUAAAACUUACUACCGAAGCUACGGCAUCAGUAAUGAUGGGUAGGGGAGCUUCCCAUACGGGUUGAAGCAUGACCGUAAGGACAUGUGGACAGUAUGGGAGUGAGAAUGUUGGCAUGAGUAGCGAGAUGUGGGUGAGAAUCCCACAGGCCGUAAACCCAAGGUUUCCAGGGGAAGGUUCGUCCGCCCUGGGUUAGUCGGGACCUAAGCUGAGGCCGAAAGGCGUAGGUGAUGGACAACAGGUUGAUAUUCCUGUACUACCGAUAACCGUUUGAGAGAAGGGAUGACACAGUAGGAUAAGCUAAGCACACUGUUGGUUAUGUGUGCCCAAGCAUUGAGGCAGUCAAAGUAGGCAAAUCCGCUUUGAUAAUGCUGGGAUGUGAUGGGGAGCGAAAUUUAGUAGCGAAGUAGCUGAUUUCACACUGUCAAGAAAAGUCUCUAUCGAGGUUAAAGGUACCCGUACCGCAAACCGACACAGGUGGGUGAGGAGAGUAUCCUAAGGCCAGCGAGAGAACUGUUGUUAAGGAACUCGGCAAAAUGACCCCGUAACUUAGGGAUAAGGGGUGCCACCAUCAGGUGGCCGCAGAGAAUAGGCCCAAGCGACUGUUUACCAAAAACAUAGGUUUCUGCUAAGUCGCAAGACGAUGUAUAGGAGCUGACGCCUGCCCGGUGCUGGAAGGUUAAGGGGAUCUGUUAGAGCAAUCGAAGCAGUGAACUUAAGCCCCAGUAAACGGCGGCCGUAACUAUAACGGUCCUAAGGUAGCGAAAUUCCUUGUCGGGUAAGUUCCGACCCGCACGAAAGGCGUAACGAUUUGGGCACUGUCUCAACAACAGACUCGGUGAAAUUGUAAUUCCGGUGAAGAUGCCGGAUACCUGCGACAGGACGGAAAGACCCCAUGGAGCUUUACUGUAGCUUGACAUUGGGUCUUGGUACUACAUGUACAGGAUAGGUGGGAGGCUUUGAAACCAGGACGCCAGUUUUGGCGGAGCCAUCCUUGGGAUACCACCCUUGUAGUACUGGGACUCUAACCAUAGGCCAUGAAUCUGGUCUUGGGACACUGUCAGGUGGGCAGUUUGACUGGGGCGGUCGCCUCCCAAAAGGUAACGGAGGCGCUCAAAGGUUCUCUCAGUACGGUCGGAAAUCGUACGUAGAGUGUAAAGGCAAAAGAGAGCUUGAUUGCAAGACAUACAGGUCGAGCAAGGAUGAAAAUCGGACUUAGUGAUCCGGUGGUUCUGCGUGGAAGGGCCAUCGCUCAACGGAUAAAAGCUACCCUGGGGAUAACAGGCUUAUCUCCCCCAAGAGUCCACAUCGACGGGGAGGUUUGGCACCUCGAUGUCGGCUCAUCACAUCCUGGGGCUGUAGUAGGUCCCAAGGGUUGGGCUGUUCGCCCAUUAAAGUGGUACGCGAGCUGGGUUCAGAACGUCGUGAGACAGUUCGGUCCCUAUCCGUCGCAGGCGUAGGAAAUUUGAGAAGACCUGUCCUUAGUACGAGAGGACCGGGAUGGACGUACCUCUGGUGUACCAGUUGUCCUGCCAAGGGCAUGGCUGGGUAGCUAUGUACGGAAUGGAUAAGCGCUGAAAGCAUCUAAGCGCGAAGCCAACUUCAAGAUAAGAUUUCCCACCGCAAGGGUAAGACCCCAGAAAGACUAUCUGGUUGAUAGGUCGAAGGUGUAAGUGCAGCAAUGUAUUUAGCUUAUCGAUACUAAUAGGUCGAGGACUUGACCAA